rnacentral:rRNA from 1 species
UAGGCGGGAUCGCAAGUCAGAUGUGAAAACUAUGGGCUUAACCCAUAAACUGCAUUUGAAACUGUGGUUCUUGAGUGAAGUAGAGGUAAGCGGAAUUCCUAGUGUAGCGGUGAAAUGCGUAGAUAUUAGGAGGAACAUCAGUGGCGAAGGCGGCUUACUGGGCUUUAACUGACGCUGAGGCUCGAAAGCGUGGGGAGCAAACAGGAUUAGAUACCCUGGUAGUCCACGCCGUAAACGAUGAUUACUAGGUGUGGGGGGACUGACCCCUUCCGUGCCGCAGCAAACGCAAUAAGUAAUCCACCUGGGGAGUACGACCGCAAGGUUGAAACUCAAAGGAAUUGACGGGGGCCCGCACAAGCAGUGGAGUAUGUGGAUUAAUUCGAAGCAACGCGAAGAACCUUACCAGGUCUUGACAUCGUAUGCAUAGCUCAGAGAUGAGUGAAAUCUCUUCGGAGACAUAUAGACAGGUGGUGCAUGGUUGUCGUCAGCUCGUGUCGUGAGAUGUUGGGUUAAGUCCCGCAACGAGCGCAACCCUUACUGUUAGUUGCUACGCAAGAGCACUCUAGCAGGACUGCCGUUGACAAAACGGAGGAAGGUGGGGAUGACGUCAAAUCAUCAUGCCCCUUAUGACCUGGGCCUCACACGUACUACAAUGGCUGUCAACAGAGGGAAGCAAAGCCGCGAGGUGGAGCGAACCCCUAAAAGCAGUCUUAGUUCGGAUUGUAGGCUGCAACCCGCCUACAUGAAGUCGGAAUUGCUAGUAAUCGCAGAUCAGCAUGCUGCGGUGAAUACGUUCCCGGGCCUUGUACACACCGCCCGUCACGCCAUGGGAGUCGGUAACACCCGAAGCCUGUAGUCUAACCGCAAGGAGGACGCAGUCGAAGGUGGGAUUGAUGACUGGGGUGAAGUCGUAACAAGGUAGCCGUAUCGGAAGGUGCGGCUG